rnacentral:rRNA from 1 species
UAGGGGAUUAGUGGCRAAYGGGURAGUAACAYSUGGGCUAUCUGCCCUGCACUCUGGGACAAGCCCUGGAGACGGGGUCUAAUACCGGAWACGACCACWUCAGGCWUMUGAAGGUGGUGGAAAGCUCCCGCGGUGCARGAUGAGCCCGCGCCCUAUCAGCUUGUUGGUGAGGUAACGGCUCACCACGGCGACSACGGGUAGCCGGCCUGAGAGGGCGACCGGSCACACUGGGACUGAAACACGGCCCAUACUCCAACRGGAGGCAGCCUUGGGGAAUAUUGCACAAUGGGGAAAARUCUAAUUCAACAWCCCCUCUUGAGGGAAGACCGCCUUCGGGUUUUAAACCUCAGUAAKCAUGUUACAACCUAA